rnacentral:rRNA from 1 species
UUUCAGAGAAUUAAAUUUUAGUUUUUAAGAAUUUAUUUAAAAGUACAUCCAUGGAAAAUUCGAAAAGUUAAAUAGAUGGUUUAUUGUACCUUUUGUAGAAUGGUUUUAUCAUAAUACACUUAGUUAACAGUUCCCGAGAAAAGAAGAGCUAAGCAUGAACCUCUUUUAGAAGAAAAGAUAGUUGUGUAGAAAUACGGCGUGGAAGAUUUGUGCUUAGGGGUGAAAUGCCCUCAAUUCUUUAGAUAUCUGGAUGCUUCUGAAAGGCAUUUAGUGCCGCCUUUAAGGUUAAUUAUGAAACGUUGAGGUUUCAUAAAAAUAGGAUUUUUAGUCAUUUUAAGUAUUUUAGGAGGUAACAUCCAAAAAGUUUUUAUAAUUAAGGAUUAAUAUUUUAAAAAAUCUAUGAGAUAGGAAGCUAUUAAACCAAAUUUAGGGUUUAAGAAUAAAUGUAAAAAUGAGUAAUAAAAGGUUUUAUUUGAUUAAUAAACUUAAAAUGAUUUAAAUAAAAUAGUAAAAUUAAAGGGGUUUAAGGAACUCGGCAAGAAUUUGGCUUCGACUAGUUUAACAAAAACAUAGCCUAAAGUAUGUAUUUUAGGUGGAAUCUGCUCAGUGUACUUAUAUAAAUAGCCGCGGUACUUUGACCGUGCUAAGGUAGCGUAAUCAGUUGGCUUUUAAAUGGAGUCGGGUAUGAAUGAAAACACGGAGCUAAACUGUCUCAAAUCUCGUUUUAUUGAAUUUACUGUGUAGGUGAAAAAGCCUAUAGAAAUAUAAAAGAAGAGAAGACCCUUAGAAUUUUUACAAAAAUAGGUUUUUCCUAAAACGUUUUUGUUGGGGCAACAAGGAAACAAAAAACUUUCCUAAAUAAAAUGUGACGAUUAUAAUAAGAGUGGUUAAAUUACCUGAGGGAUAACAGCAUAAUUUUAUAAUUUAGUUUGUGACCUCGAUGUUGGACUAGGAAAUUGGUAGACUAGCCGUUUACUAUAUUGGUUCUGUUCGAACUUUGUUUUCCU